rnacentral:pre_miRNA from 1 species
GAUUUCAAUUGAAAAAGUCAUCAACAACAAAAUUUUGUAUAACUCAUCAAGAUCUAAAACUUUUAUUUUUGUUAUUUCUUUAUCCGAUAAAGUGUUAGUAACAUUGUUCACAAAUUUUACAUAUAUGUGUUAUAGUUUAUAAAACCAGAUAAGAGAUACGUCAAUUUUGUGAACAAUGUUACUAUCAAUUUAUCGGAUGAAGAAAUGAUCAAAAUAAAACUUUUAGAUCUUGAUGAGUUAUUAAACUUUGUUGUUGAUAACUUUUUCAGUUGAAAUC